rnacentral:lncRNA from 1 species
CGGGUGGUGGGAGACGAAGCAGUCCCUCCUUAUCGGGUGGUGCUUUCUGUGGUUUUGGUCACCUGCUGUCACCUGGAGUCCUUAGGGCACAAGGACUCCCAUCAGACUUAACGGGCACCGGAUCUGCCCUCAGACCCCAGGACAAAGCAGGGUAUAGGAAAAACAACAACAACAACAUACAAGGUGUGAUUUCAAAAUACUGCUGUCUCUGGCUGUCACUGAGCCUUAGCCACGGUGUGUGACGUUUCAGUUCAGAUCCAGUGCUGUCACUGGGUCGUGAGCUCCAGUCCAGACCCAGCGGCGCUUUGACCCUGCGGAGCUGCGCCGGGGGAGUCUGCACCAGGAGCGCGGUGGGGAGCCCUGGGUGCCAGGCCGGCUCCUGGAGCAUUUGAGAAAUGAUGUGCGGGGGAAUCGGCUGAGAAAUGGGCCAGCGCUUUCACCCUCCGCCACGACUCUGCUCUGGGCCACACGGGUGCUGGAACAGCAUUUCCUGUCCAGUACAAACUGACGCCCUGUCCCCACGUCCUCAUUCCCCGGAUCCGGCAACGCGUGACUCUGGCUCCUCCCCAGAGCCAAAACGACCAUCAAAGGGAAACAUUUUGAAUUCAUUCAGGACACGGAGGCAGAGGCAGCCAGGACAGUGCAGCUAAAGACACUAAGGAAAGAGGGCUCCAGAGCUGCUGCAGGAAGUGGUGAGGAUGAUGGGAUGAGUUCAAAGUGGGGGAUUCAUGGG